GAUGUGCGCACAGUAGUGUUUUCAUCUUUUCUAUAAAUAUUUGUAGUUCAUCAUGCAUUACAGUAGGGCAUUCCUCUCUUUUGACUUUGCCCUUUUUUUUAGCUUGUUCAUCUGAUUUGCACAGAAGGGGGAAGAAGGCUUUAUGGAAAAGAUAAACUACAGACUCAACUCUGUGUGGAUACAAAGUUUUGUGGAAAAAAUGUAAGUGGGAAUGAUAGGCAAACAUCAGAAGUAAAAGAUAGGACCACACAAGAACAAAUUAAGAGAAAUCUCAGCUGCAGAGAGUGUGCAUUCUGCAGAUGAAAUUUGGGACUUAGAAGCACGGCAAGAACUCCCUCUGGAUGGAAUUAUGGCCUCUUCCAAAUCAAUUGGAAAACGUUUGUUGACUUUAAUGGGCCCAGGUUUUCCCCCUGGUAUCCAGUAGAAGGCAUACAUAGAUGCUUAUACACAAUUGUAAUUGUGUAUAAUUGUAUGCUCGCUGCGUAACCAAAUAGAGUUUGCAGAAGGAAGCAGUCCUAGGGAAGACAUCAGCUUUCAAAGAAGUAAGUUCUGCAACUAUGUUGUGGUUC
rnacentral:lncRNA from 1 species